CCUUUCAAGUGAAACAAGGGUCGCUCUGGGCACCCCUUGAAGAAGUGAAGAGGAGGACAGAUUAAGGGAAUCUAAGAGCAGAUGGAGAGGGUAUUGACAGUAGGAGAGAAGGACAGGCAGAGAGUUUGGUAGAGCUGUCACGAGAGAGAUAGAGUAUAAGACUAAGGGACAGAUAGAGAGGCUAAGGGACAGUAGGCGAUAUAGAUAGAGUAAGGAAUCAGAUAGCAAAUAGAAAGACUAUAGGUGGUAGAACAGAGGGAGAUGAGGGAGUGGAAGUCAGGACAAGGAAGUGAGGUUCUAGGCAGUCGUUGAGCGGUCGUCGAGGAGCACAGACGGAUCUGGCAGUCGCUGGCCGGUCCUCGAAGA